ACUCCUACGGGAGGCAGCAGUGGGGAAUAUUGCACAAUGGGCGCAAGCCUGAUGCAGCCAUGCCGCGUGUAUGAAGAAGGCCUUCGGGUUGUAAAGUACUUUCAGCGGGGAGGAAGGCGAUAAGGUUAAUAACCUUGUCGAUUGACGUUACCCGCAGAAGAAGCACCGGCUAACUCCGUGCCAGCAGCCGCGGUAAUACGGAGGGUGCAAGCGUUAAUCGGAAUUACUGGGCGUAAAGCGCACGCAGGCGGUCUGUCAAGUCGGAUGUGAAAUCCCCGGGCUCAACCUGGGAACUGCAUUCGAAACUGGCAGGCUAGAGUCUUGUAGAGGGGGGUAGAAUUCCAGGUGUAGCGGUGAAAUGCGUAGAGAUCUGGAGGAAUACCGGUGGCGAAGGCGGCCCCCUGGACAAAGACUGACGCUCAGGUGCGAAAGCGUGGGGAGCAAACAGGAUUAGAAACCCUUGUAGUCCCAUG
rnacentral:rRNA from 1 species